rnacentral:rRNA from 1 species
AGAACGAACGCUGGCGGCAGGCCUCAAACAUGCAAGUCUAGGGGAUGUAGCAAUACAUCACCGGCGGACGGGUGCGUAACACGUGGGAAUAUACCUUUCGGUACGGAACAACUGCGGGAAACUGCAGCUAAUACCGUAUACGUCCUUACGGAGAAAGAUUUAUCGCCGAAGGAUUAGCCCGCGUUCGAUUAGCUAGUUGGUGAGGUAAUGGCUCACCAAGGCGACGAUCGAUAGCUGUUCUGAGAGGAAGAUCAGCCACACUGGGACUGAGACACGGCCCAGACUCCUACGGGAGGCAGCAGUUGGAAUCUUGGACAAUGGGGGAAACCCUGAUCCAGCCAUGCCGCGUGAGUGAUGAAGGCCUUCGGGUUGUAAAGCUCUUUUACCCGGAAGAUAAUGACUGUACCGGAGAAUAAGCUCCGGCUAACUUCGUGCCAGCAGCCGC